UGUGGUUUAAUUNGAAGCAACGCGAAGANCCNUNACCAAAUCUUGACAUCNUNUGACCCCUCUAGAGAUAGAGUUUUCCCCUUCGGGGGACAGAGUGACAGGUGGUGCAUGGUNGUCGUCAGCUCGUGUCGUGAGAUGUUGGGUUAAGNCCCGCAACGAGCGCAACCCUUAAGCUUAGUUGCCAUCAUUAAGUUGGGCACUCUAAGUUGACUGCCGGUGACAAACCGGAGGAAGGUGGGGAUGACGUCAAAUCAUCAUGCCCCUUAUGAUUUGGGCUACACACGUGCUACAAUGGACAAUACAAAGGGUAGCGAAACCGCGAGGUCAAGCAAAUCCCAUAAAGUUGUUCUCAGUUCGGAUUGUAGUCUGCAACUCGACUAUAUGAAGCUGGAAUCGCUAGUAAUCGUAGAUCAGCAUGCUACGGUGAAUACGUUCCCGGGUCUUGUACACACCGCCCGUCACACCACGAGAGUUUGUAACACCCGAAGCCGGUGGAGUAAC
rnacentral:rRNA from 1 species